rnacentral:rRNA from 1 species
ACUCCUACGGGAGGCAGCAGUGGGGAAUCUUGGACAAUGGGCGCAAGCCUGAUCCAGCCAUGCCGCGUGAGCGAUGAAGGCCUUAGGUCGUAAAACUCUUUCGCCAGGGAUGAUAAUGACAGUACCUGGUAAAGAAACCCCGGCUAACUCCGUGCCAGCAGCCGCGGUAAUACGGAGGGGUUAGCGUUGUUCGGAAUUACUGGGGCGUAAAGCGCGCGUAGGCGGACUAGUUAGUCAGAGGUGAAAUCCCGGGGCUCAACCCCGGAACUGCCUUUGAUACUGCUAGUCUUGAGUUCGAGAGAGGUGAGUGGAAUUCCGAGUGUAGAGGUGAAAUUCGUAGAUAUUCGGAGGAACACCAGUGGCGAAGGCGGCUCACUGGCUCGAUACUGACGCUGAGGUGCG